rnacentral:rRNA from 1 species
UACGUAGGGGGCAAGCGUUGUCCGGAUUUAUUGGGCGUAAAGAGCGUGUAGGCGGCCAGACAAGUCUGCUGUGAAAACUCGAGGCUCAACCUCGAGCUGUCGGUGGAAACUGUCUGGCUAGAGUCCGGAAGAGGAGAGUGGAAUUCCUGGUGUAGCGGUGAAAUGCGCAGAUAUCAGGAAGAACACCUAUGGCGAAGGCAGGUCUCUGGGCCACUACUGACGCUGAGAAGCGAAAGCAUGGGGAGCGAACAGG